rnacentral:rRNA from 1 species
GACGAACCGUGCGAACGUUGUUCGGAAUCACUGGGCUUAAAGGGAGCGUAGGCGGGCUAACAAGUCUGGGGUGAAAUACCGCGGCUCAACCGUGGAACUGCCUCAGAUACUGUCGGCCUCGAGGAAGGUAGGGGCAUGCGGAACUGUAGGUGGAGCGGUGAAAUGCGUUGAUAUCUACAGGAACUCCGGUGGCGAAAGCGGCGUGCUGGACCUUUUCUGACGCUGAGGCUCGAAAGCUAGGGGAGCAAACGGG